rnacentral:rRNA from 2 species
UGCAUAUCCAAUAAGCGGAGGAAAAGAAACCAACAGGGAUUGCCCUAGUAACGGCGAGUGAAGCGGCAACAGCUCAAAUUUGAAAGCUGGCCUUCGGGUCCGCGUUGUAAUUUGCAGAGGAAGCUUUGGGCGCGGCGCUGUCUGAGUCCCCUGGAACGGGGCGCCAAAGAGGGUGAGAGCCCCGUAUAGACGGAUGCCUAGCCUGUGUGUAAAGCUCCUUCGACGAGUCGAGUAGUUUGGGAAUGCUGCUCAAAAUGGGAGGUAAAUUUCUUCUAAAGCUAAAUACCGGCCAGAGACCGAUAGCGCACAAGUAGAGUGAUCGAAAGAUGAAAAGCACUUUGAAAAGAGGGUUAAAUAGCACGUGAAAUUGUUGAAAGGGAAGCGCUUGUGACCAGACUUGCGCCGGGCUGAUCAUCCGGUGUUCUCACCGGUGCACUCUGCCCGGCUCAGGCCAGCAUCGGUUCUCGCGGGGGGAUAAAGGCUUAGGGAAUGUAGCUCCUCCGGGAGUGUUAUAGCCCUCUGCGUAAUACCCUCGCGGGGACCGAGGUCUGCGCUCUGCAAGGAUGCUGGCGUAAUGGUCAUCAGCGACCCGUCUUGA